GACGAACGCUGGCGGCGUGCUUAACACAUGCAAGUCGAACGGAAAGGCCUGCUUUCCCUUGUGGAUUGCGGGUACUCGAGUGGCGAACGGGUGAGUAACACGUGAGUGAUCUGCCCCCAACUUGGGUAUAAGCCUGGGAAACUGGGUCUAAUUCCCGAUAGGACUGCAGGGUGGUGCCUGUGGUGGAAAACGAUUUUCUAGUGGUUGGGGAUGAGCUCGCGGCCUAUCAGCUUGUUGGUGGGGUAAUGGCCUACCAAGGCGGCGACGGGUAGCCGGCCUGAGAGGGUGUACGGGGACAUUGGGACUGAGAUACGGCCCAGACUCCUACGCGAGGCAGCAGCGGGGACUAGAAGAAAAUGGGCGGAAGCCUGAUGCAGCGACGCCGCGUGGAGGAUGACGGGCUUCGGGUUGUAAACUCCUUUCGACCGCGAGGAAGCCACCUGGUUGGAAGGGUGGUGACGGUAGUGGUAGAAGAAGCACCGGCUAACUACGUG
rnacentral:rRNA from 1 species